rnacentral:rRNA from 1 species
UUCCACAUGAUCGCAUGUGAUUGUGGGAAAGAUUCUAUCGGCGUGGGAUGGGGUCGCGUCCUAUCAGCUUGUUGGUGAGGUAACGGCUCAACCAAGGCUUCGACGGGUAGCCGGCCUGAGAGGGCGACCGGCCACAUUGGGACUGAGAUACGGCCCAGACUCCUACGGGAGGCAGCAGUGGGGAAUAUUGCACAAUGGGCGCAAGCCUGAUGCAGCGACGCCGCGUGAGGGAUGGAGGCCUUCGGGUUGUAAACCUCUUUUGUUUGGGAGCAAGCCUUCGGGUGAGUGUACCUUUCGAAUAAGCGCCGGCUAACUACGUGCCAGCAGCCGCGGUAAUACGUAGGGCGCAAGCGUUAUCCGGAUUUAUUGGGCGUAAAGGGCUCGUAGGCGGCUCGUCGCGUCCGGUGUGAAAGUCCAUCGCUUAACGGUGGAUCUGCGCCGGGUACGGGCGGG